AUUUAAAAUCUGGCAGUGUUUGCUGUCCGAGUUGUAACCCCUGUGCUGGACCAUGUACAAGUCUCCUGGAAUGGAGCAUCACAGAGGGUGAGAAUCCCGUCUUUGACAUGGACUACCAGUGCAUUGNGGUUGNGCUCUCAACGAGUCGAGUUGUUUGGGAAUGCAGCUCUAAAUGGGUGGUAAAUUCCAUCUAAAGCUAAAUAUUGGCGAGAGACCGAUAGCGAACAAGUACCGUGAGGGAAAGAUGAAAAGAACUUUGGAAAGAGAGUUAAACAGUAUGUGAAAUUGUUGAAAGGGAAACGUUUGAAGUCAGUCAUGUUGGCUGGGGAUCAGCCUGACAUUUUGUUGGGUGUACUUCCUGGUGAACGGGCCAACAUCAGUUUUGACUGCCAGAGAAAGUCCAAGGGAAUGUGGCACCUUUGGGUGUGUUAUAGCUCUUGGUCGUAUGUGGUGGUUGGGACUGAGGAUAGCAGUGUGCCGAAAGGCAGGGUUUCGACCACAUUCGCACUGAGGAUGUUGGCAUAAUGGCUUUAAGCGACCCGUCUUGAAACACGGACCAAGGAGUCUAACAUGCAUGCGAGUGUUUGGGUGGAAAACCCUUACGCGUAAUGAAAGUGAAAGUUGAGAUCCCUGUCAUG
rnacentral:rRNA from 1 species